rnacentral:rRNA from 1 species
GAUGAACGCUAGCGGCAGGCCUAACACAUGCAAGUCGAGGGGUAGAGGAAGCUUGCUUCCUUGAGGCCGGCGCACGGGUGCGUAACGCGUAUGCAAUCUGCCUUGUACUGAGGGAUAGCCCAGAGAAAUUUGGAUUAAUACCUCAUAGCAUUAUGAAAUCGCAUGGUUUUAUAAUUAAAGUUCCAACGGUACAAGAUGAGCAUGCGUCCCAUUAGUUAGUUGGUAAGGUAACGGCUUACCAAGACGAUGAUGGGUAGGGGUCCUGAGAGGGAGAUCCCCCACACUGGUACUGAGACACGGACCAGACUCCUACGGGAGGCAGCAGUGAGGAAUAUUGGUCGAUGGACGCAAGUCUGAACCAGCCAUGCCGCGUGCAGGAUGAAGCAUCUAUGGUGUGUAGACUGCUUUUGUACGGGAAGAAACACUCCUACGUGUAGGAACUUGACGGUACCGUAAGAAUAAGGAUCGGCUAACUCCGUGCCAGCCGCCGCCGUAAUAC